rnacentral:lncRNA from 1 species
UUUUGGCACGCUCUGAGAUGCUCAGAUGUGGAGGGCUCUGCUCUACCCUCUCCUCCACAGGCAACCCAGCCAAAACCCAGCAGAGCCAUCCAAAACCUUUCCCGGUUUGCUGCUUGCACGGAUCUCAUCUGUCUCCUUCUCCUUGGAUUCGCCUCCUCGGAGAGGAGAGAUAUCCCAGGAUAAGGAGAUAAAGGAGCCUGGUGUGGAGGUGCAGAGGAGGAAGAGCUGCAGCCAAGGGGCUCCAUCCCAGAGCAGAUAUCCCCAAAGCAGCUGAUUCCAGUUCUGCACAAUGAUGUGUGGCUUUCCCAGCUUGUGCCUCCCUCCAGAAGGAUUUUCCUUUGACCUCAGCUAAUGAAAUGAUCCAGAUCAGUGACUGGGAAAGCAGCCUCAGGACAAAGUUCAAGUCUUUUUCUUCUCAACAGGCUC